CAGUCGCCGCGGUAAUACGAAGGGGGCUAGCGUUGCUCGGAAUCACUGGGCGUAAAGGGUGCGUAGGCGGGUCUUUAAGUCAGGGGUGAAAUCCUGGAGCUCAACUCCAGAACUGCCUUUGAUACUGAAGAUCUUGAGUAUGGGAGAGGUGAGUGGAACUGCGAGUGUAGAGGUGAAAUUCGUAGAUAUUCGCAAGAACACCAGUGGCGAAGGCGGCUCACUGGACCGGAAUUGACGCUGAGGUGCGAAAGCGUGGGGAGCAAACAGGAUUAGAUACCCCCGUAGUCCCUGUCUCUUAUAC
rnacentral:rRNA from 1 species